rnacentral:rRNA from 1 species
GGUCGGAAAUCGUGCUGAUAGUGCAAUGGCAUAAGCGUGCUUAACUGCGAGACCGACAAGUCGAGCAGGUGCGAAAGCAGGUCAUAGUGAUCCGGUGGUUCUGUAUGGAAGGGCCAUCGCUCAACGGAUAAAAGGUACUCUGGGGAUAACAGGCUGAUACCGCCCAAGAGUUCAUAUCGACGGCGGUGUUUGGCACCUCGAUGUCGGCUCAUCUCAUCCUGGGGCUGUAGCCGGUCCCAAGGGUAUGGCUGUUCGCCAUUUAAAGAGGUACGUGAGCUGGGUUUAAAACGUCGUGAGACAGUUUGGUCCCUAUCUGCCGUGGGCGUUGGAUAUUUGAAGGGGGCUGCUCCUAGUACGAGAGGACCGGAGUGGACGAACCUCUGGUGUACCGGUUGUGACGCCAGUCGCAUCGCCGGGUAGCUAUGUUCGGAAGAGAUAACCGCUGAAAGCAUCUAAGCGGGAAACUCGCCUUAAGAUGAGAUAUCCCUGGGGACUUGAUCCCCUUGAAGGGUCGUUCGAGACCAGGACGUUGAUAGGUCAGGUGUGUAAGCGCAGUAAUGCGUUCAGCUAACUGAUACUAAUUGCCCGUAAGGCUUGAUCCUAUAACA